AUUGAACGCUGGCGGCAGGCCUAACACAUGCAAGUCGAGCGGAGCUGCGGACGGGUGAGUAAUGCCUAGGCAUCUGCCUGGUAGUGGGGGAUAACGUCCGGAAACGGGCGCUAAUACCGCAUACUAUCAGAUGAGCCUAGGUCGGAUUAGCUAGGUGGUGGGGUAAAGGCCCACCAAGGCGACGAUCCGUAACUGGUCUGAGAGGAUGAUCAGUCACCCUGGAACUGAAACACGGACCAGACUACUACGGUAGGCAGCAGUGGGGAAUAUUGGACUAUGGGCGAAAGGCUGAUCCAGCCAUGCCGCGUGGGUGAAGAAGGUCUUCGGAUUGUAAAGCACUUUAAGUUGGGAGGAGUUAUCAACAGAAUAAGCACCGGCUAACCUCGUGCCAGCAGCCGCGGUAAUUC
rnacentral:rRNA from 1 species